AAACUANGAUUAGAUACCCUAUUAUUCUAAAAGUUAAGAAGUAAACAGAGUAGUAAUAGUUGUGAUCUUGAAACUUAAAAAUUUUGGCGGUAUUUUAGUCUUGUCAGAGGAACUUGUCCCAUAAUCGAUAGUCCACGAUUUAAUUUACUUAAUUUGGUUUAACAGCUUGUAUACCGCCGUCAUCAGUAUAUAUUAGAAAAUUAUAUUCAGAAAUUAGUGAAAAUAUGUCAGGNCAAGGGGCCGCUUAUAAUUNAGAGGAGGGGAGUUACCAUAUAUAAUAUAUAAAUGGAUAUAAAAUGUAAAAAAAUUGGAAGGNGGAUUUGGAAGUAANAAUGUUAUUUAAUCCUUAUGANAUAAGCNCNAAAAUAUGU
rnacentral:rRNA from 1 species